AGCAAAGAGGACAGAGAGAGAGAGAGAGAGAGAGAGAGAAGCAGGGCUCAUGCAAAGCGGGGCUGGUGCUCACUUGAGGCGGGGCUUGAAUUCAUUGUGAGAUCAUGACCUGAGCCGAAGUCAGUUGCUUAACCAAUUGAGCCACCCAUGUGCCCUGGUUUAUAUCUUUAAAAGAUUGUUCUGGCUGCUGUGGGACAAUGUAGAAUACUUCUCUGGAGGAUGAAUCCUGGAACCCGAAACCUCAGCUUGAUUUCUCUCUUGCUGCUGAGUUUCGAUCAGGCCAUAGCCAAGGCAUAGAAUAAGACAGAUGGAGUCUCAGCUCUCAUGAAGAUUGCACACCAGUUGGGGAGACAGGCAACAAUCAAGGAUACACAUAUGCAAACAAGGCCUUUGGACUCAUGCUGGAAUUAAGCCAUUGGCUCUCCUGGAUCUCCAGCCUCCUGACUCAUCCUGCAAACCUUGGGACUUGCCUGCCUCCAUAACCACUUGAGUCAGUUCCUUAUAAUAAAUCUUUG